AAAGUGUUUCCUUUGUGUUUUUCACAUACAGACGACAAUGUUGUCCAAAUGAUCCCUGUUCACAAGGAUCCGCGAAAAUGACUAAAAGUGCUGCAUUAUGCUGCCAGGCCUGUAGUUGGCGAUGUCACUUUGUAAAGAAACACUACGUGCCUAUAGAAUGAACAUGUAACAUGCAUAUGUAUGAUGUCACCAUUUUCACAAAUUCAUGUUUUUUCCUGUUCCUGUUUGCCUGAGAUCUCAUUCAUUAUUUGUUGUCAUGGUUACUGAUUGCUUUGUGCACCUGUUUCUUGUUCAGUUCAUUUUCUCCUUUGUAUUUAAGCCCUCAUUUUAGUUCUACUCAUGGUCCACAACCCGUGGUACUGGCAGAUGCACAUUUUCUAGAAAAGGCAUCCCUCUCUGUUAAUGUAUGCAACAUCACAUGCAUGCAAUUUACAAUUCCACAGCAGAGUCACGGACAUGGGAAUGUGAAUAUGGCCGGAGGGUUCAGCGAGCACGCUCUAAGACACAUCACCUCACCAGCUAUUUGUGUCUGAUCGCUGGUGAGUGGAAUUGGAAGCUGUGGCAUAUUGUGCAUCCUUUAUCAUUUCACACAUGAAUUAUGGAUGCUGCUUGAGCUACCUGGUUUCCAAGAGCCAGUUUCCUUCAUACAGACACAUCUAUUUGGAAGAUUUCAGCGAGGGAGACCACAAAUUAAUAUUCAGCGGUGCGCUGACCUCCAUGUCAUGAUGAUCAAUGAGCUUUGUUACUGGAACAUGAUCUUUCACACCUACAAGCUGUCCAUCAACACUUUCAUAGCAGCAUAAUAAUUAGGAGCAAGGCACCCGCAGAUGCAUUAUAUCUGGAUUUAACACCUGUGUAGACCUGUGUACUGAACUUACAACAGGUCUACACUUAGAAAGCAUUUUAAACAUUGAUACUCUCAGGAGCGGAGUAAACAGAUUUAGAUAGGGACUCUAAUGCCGGUUAUUAAUGAAUUCUUCUAAUACAUUGGCAGGAUAUGAGUUGUGAUAUUUCAUUUAACAUAAACUACUCAUCCACUGAUAGAUCUUGCUUCUUGAAUUUAAUUGGCUUAACAUAACCUGAGAAAUGGUGGAACAGGUUAAUUAAUAAUAUGAGAAUUGAGAGUUGUUUUUAAUUAGAAUGAUACAUGCUUGCUGGAUUUGACUGGAUUGUAUUC